ACACCCAACCCCGGGUGGGGCGAACGAAGGACUCUAAGAGCCCCUAGCCUGCAACCCUGAUUCUAGACCUCCAGACUCCCCUAUCAAGGGUCAAGUUCUCGGUAACCUGCAUACUAGUCAUGUCCUGCCUAAUCACCUCUCCCCAAUGCUUCCUAGGCCUCCCUCUACCCCGCUCGCAGCUCCUCACAGGGGCAUCGGGACCCCUCCUCCGUACAUGCCCGAACCACCGGGGCAUCGGAACCCCUCCUCCGUACGUGACCAUAAAUAUAUAUUUCGCUAUAAAAAUCAAAAGGUUACUAUGUAAUAUAAUUUUUUAAAAGGAUAUUUAUUUAAAAUAAAUAAGGUAUCAACCUUUUCUAUAAGAAGUAAAAAUUCCUUUAAA
rnacentral:lncRNA from 1 species